CUGGCUCAGAAUCAACGCUGGCGGCGUGCCUAACACAUGCAAGUCGAACGCGAAAGUGGAGCAAUCCAUGAGUAGAGUGGCAAACGGGUGAGUAACGCGUGGGUGACCUGCCUUCGAGUGGGGGAUAACGCUCCGAAAGGGACGCUAAUACCGCAUAACAUCCUGCCUUUUAAGAGGUGGAGAUCAAAGCCUGGGACCGCAAGGCCAGGCGCUGGAAGAGGGGCCCGCGUCUGAUUAGCUAGUUGGUGGGGUAAUGGCUCACCAAGGCUUCGAUCAGUAUCCGGCCUGAGAGGGCGGACGGACACACUGGGACUGAGACACGGCCCAGACUCCUACGGGAGGCAGCAGUGGGGAAUUGUUCGCAAUGGGCGCAAGCCUGACGACGCAACGCCGCGUGGAGGAUGAAGACCUUCGGGUCGUAAACUCCUUUCGAUCGAGACGAACGGCCUCUGGGUUAACAGCCCAGGGGAGUGACGGUACCGAGAGAAGAAGCCCCGGCUAACUCCGUGCCAGCCGCUGC
rnacentral:rRNA from 1 species